rfam:Homo sapiens chromosome 16, GRCh38 reference primary assembly.
GCUGGGCAUGGUGGCUCAUGCCUGUAAUCCCAGCACUUUGGGAAGCCGAGGCAGGCAGAUCACCUGAGGCCAGGAGUUCGAGACCAGCCUGGCCAACAUGGUGAGACCCUGUCUCUA